AUUUUCUAAUAAAAUAAAAAAAAGGUGGAGAUUUAUCGUUAUUUUUAAGAAAGAUAUGAUAACUUUAAUAAAUGUCUUCAAAACCGCAUAUUUAUUCGUGUAUUUCUGGCAGGACUGUGGAAAAUCGCUGGGUACUAACAAGAGGGUUAAAUCCGGUUUAUAUUGUUAGAUUAACAUAUUAAAUACCUUGCGGAUCAUGAUACUACAAAUUUAAACAAAUAAUUAGAGUAACUUGCAUAUUCGGCACAUAUUUCUAGCAUAUUUAACUGAUUGGCUACUGUGGAAAUAUUUUUUAAAAAAUCACAAAAAUGAUUUUUUAGUAUUUUUCUAAUCUUUUAAAAUUAUUUUGUAACGACUGUAGCAGUUAAUAUACUAUAGGUUUGUAGCCUUCCAACACUUGCGCAUAAGCAUUUAUAUGGGAGAAUUUGAAUUGAUAUUAAUUAUAUUACUCAUAUUUUUUAAUUAUAUUCUAAAUUUUAUAUUUCAUAAUUCAAAAUCACAAAAUUGUUUUCCAAAUUACUUUUAAUAUUAAUAUCGGCAAAAUUAAGAUUUUGAGAAUUGCUGCUUUUCCUAUUUCGCUACAUUUCCUAAGGAAGUCUACUUUACUCAAUACAGGACAUAUUUUUCUUGAUGGUACUGGAAUUCUUGAAUUUUGGUUUCGGUACGCAUUUAUGAAACGGCUGAGAAUCACUGGUGUAUCCUAAUGUACUAUUUUGUUUUCUAUAAACUAACACAUCGGGACAUCAUCAUUUUCCAUAGCACAUUGUACGUAAUUCGUUUAUAAAUUAUUAGAGAAUUACUCGUUUGUUUCUCUUUCUCUGCUAUUAUUUUGAUCCCGUUUUUCACGACCGCUCAUUAACUAACUCUCUAUACCCCAUCCUUCUUGUUUCUCGUACUCUCUGUUCCUCUUUCUGGGUUUUAACUGGUCCAUGGUUUCACCACCGUUUUGUAACUUCGACGAUGAGUGCACAGAGAGAUAAACACGAAAUUGUAUGCGUCCGUCCAAAAGUUUCUCGACAAGUUUCUGCCUGGGGCGCGUCGAACCGGUGUCGACGUAACCCUUUAUGUUGCCUUUACAACGGGCUACCGGACAAAGCUAUGUACCCGGGCAAACGAUUUUUGCACGCUGUCCUGAACAUCUUUCACGGUAGUGCAAAUGAAAUCGGACUCAACGGGAGACAGAGUAUUGUGUUUGUUCGCUAUACGAUGUAGGAAGAAGCGAAUGAAGAGCAGUACGGGUGAUGAACAGAAGUGAAGGUGUUGUUUCAAGAUCGAUGAGGCAAAAUUUGGAAAAAGGAAAUACAAUCGCGGAAGAAUUGUAGAAGGAUACUGGGUGUUAGGAAUGGUAGAUACUAGCAAUAAGGAUUGCCGAAUGAUUGUAGUUCCAAAUCGAGAAGCCGCAACAUUAAUUAACAUUAUAAAGGAACACGUUGUUGCUGGCAGCGAAAUUCAUACGGAUAGUUUUCGCAGCUACGCCGGACUUUCAGAAGCAGGAUUUAUUCAUAAAUCUGUUAAUCACAGCAUAGAAUUUCUAGUGAUGGGACUCAUGCGCAGCAAAUAGAGUCAAAUUGGCGGCCGGCGAAGGACUGGAUAAGGGGAAGGGGUCGUUUUCACGACGAGGAAUUUGCUGAUCGUUUAUGCGAAUAUCUGAGUGACGGUUUUACCGUCACAACAAAAUAGACCUCAUGGAAUCAAUGAUGGAAGCGAUUCGGAAAAAAUAUGUUUUUAAUUAAGUGUUACUUUCAGAAAUCGACUUUCAUUUCAAAACAGUUCGUACACGAGAACGUUACAGUCGCAUAAAGGCCCUCAAUUGCAUCCAGCAAUCUUACAGGCGAAGGUUCGUACAAAAGGCGCCAAGCUACGCUUUAUGCGUCCUCGAAACGCGACUAUAAACGGCACUUUCCCUAUUUCAACCAGAUCCUAUUUAUCAUUCUCGCUUGAAUGCGAUCGAAAUUGCCAUUCUGAGGCAGCGCCACGACGAAAUCGUAUUUCGUCGCUGAAAAACGUGUCGCGAAAACGUAGCUGAUUCAGCUCGCGGAAAUAUUAUUUCAUGGGCUAUCGCUGCUUACCAGGCCAUUAUUCCGUGGUUGUUUGUCGAACGAUAUCGUUCGAUCAAGAAAUUAAAAAUUAAAUGCCGUCGAUUAUUGGCGCGGUGAGAACAGUAUGGAUUGAAACUAAUCCUCUAAACGUACAUGAGCAUCAGAAAUUGCGAUAAACGAUUUAGCCAUUAAUUUUCCGAGUAGUAAGUAGAACAAAAAUAAUAUUUACCUAAUGGAGGAAUCUGUACUUGACAUUCCAAAAUUAUUAUUUCGUUCAUUUCAUUUAUUGCGAUAAUGAAUUUAUGACAUUAACAUGUUCCAUGUUAGCACUGAAUUGGAACUUCAUCGAUCAUUAAGCACCUUUUUCGUUUAAUAAAAUAAUAUAACUUUGAAUCAUGCAUGUUAUCUGAAUAUUAUGCUGUUUUACUAAAUUAUAUGGCAGAGUUAGCUUUUAUAAGUUUCAAAACAUGAAAAUCGUGUUCUUACACGUGAGAAGUGGAAAGCGUGUCAUACAAUUUUUAAUAUUAAUAUCGCCAAAAUUGUAGGCGUUUAGUGGAGGGGGGGAGAGGGUUUGGUUUCUCCGGACGUCUUUAGUUCAGACCGGGGACCGUUAGGUGGCGGCGAUAUGAUCGGUGACAGUGUUCUCGCAAGCGGUCGCCCAGCAUGCAAUUCGAAUAUGUAUAGAAGUUCCGAAUUGUGGUAUGAUAGGUGUCUGGGGCAAGGAUCGUCUGUUGUCAGCCCCACUGACGAGUCUGACAGACGAUCCCGAGACGAAACGCCUUUUUCUUCCCUCUCUUACAAAAUUAAGAUUUUCAGAAUUUCUGCUUCUCCUGUAAUGCCAUUUCUCCUAGCGAAGCCUACUUUGCUUGAUACUGUACCAUACAUAUGUUAA